CUGGAGCUGGGGACCGAACCCAGGGCCUUGCGCUUGCUAGGCAAGCGCUCUACCACUGAGCUAAAUCCCCAACCCCCUUUACUGACUCGUAAGCAGUGCACUUUCCUCAUGUCAUGGAUGCUUGGCUGUUAGUCCCACAGAGAUUCUGUGAUGAAGUCUUUUGUGAUUAAGGUCUAGGCUGUUCUCUUUUGCAGCUUCUAUGAAGCAAGCAGCUCUUUCUGUCUGCUGGCCUGCCUCUACUCGCAGGAAGUCCUGUGGCCCUUGGCCAGACAAUUUGGGUGUAGGCAGGUCAGCUCAGCAGUCAGUUCACCUCCAGCUCCCCUCCAUUCUUGUUCUCUGGGCCUUUCUAGGACAGAGUCAGACGUUCUCCCAGUGUAGGGCAUAUGUAGGCCUCUGUCCUUUCGAAGCCCCCCUGUCCUGACUUGCCUGUAUCUCUCUCACUUCCUCUUCUCCUGGAUACCUGGGCAAAGGUCGUCUCCACAGCACACGGUGCUUCCGGGAAU
rnacentral:lncRNA from 1 species